rnacentral:rRNA from 1 species
GACGAACGCUGGCGGCGUGCCUAAUACAUGCAAGUUGAGCGAUGAAGCUUUGUUCUUUCACCUAUUUGAAGAGCAGCUAACGGGUGAGUAACGCGUGUGUAAUCUGCCUUUUAUCGGGGGACAACUUUUGGAAACGAAUGCUAAUACCGCAUAACAACUUUAAACAUAAGUUUUAAGUUUGAAAGAUGCAAUUGCAUCACUCAAAGAUGAUCCCGCGUUUUAUUAGCAAGUUGGUGAGGUAAAGGCUCACCAAGGCGAUGAUACAUAGCCGACCUGAGAGGGUGAUCGGCAAAAAUGGGAAUGAGAAAAGGACAAAAAGGCGACGGGAGGCAGCAGUAGGGAAACUUCGGAAAUGGACGAAAGACAGACCGAGCAAAGCCGCGGGAGUGAAGAAGGAUUUCGGAUCGUAAAAAUCUGUUGGUAGAGAAGAACGAUGGUGAGAGUGGAAAGCACAUAAAGUGACGGUAACUACACAGAAAGGGACGGCUAACUACGUG